UACGUAGGGGGCAAGCGUUGUCCGGAAUCAUUGGGCGUAAAGAGCGUGUAGGCGGCCAGAUAAGUCCGCUGUGAAAUCUCGAGGCUCAACUUCGAGCUGUCGGUGGAAACUGUCUGGCUAGAGUCCGGAAGAGGAGAAUGGAAUUCCUGGUGUAGCGGUGAAAUGCGUAGAUAUCAGGAGGAAUACCGAUGGCGAAGGCAGGUCUCUGGGCUGACACUGACGCUCAUGCACGAAAGCGUGGGGAGCAAACAGG
rnacentral:rRNA from 1 species